rnacentral:rRNA from 1 species
GCAUAUCAAUAAGCGGAGGAAAAGAAACCAACAGGGAUUGCCUUAGUAACGGCGAAGUGAAGCGGCAAUAGCUCAAAUUUGAAAUCUGGCGCUUGCGUCCGAAGUUGUAAUUUGCAGAAGGAUGAUUUUGGUUAGGUACCUUCCGAGUUCCUUGGAACAGGACGCCUUAGAGGGUGAGAGCCCCGUACGGUUGGAUGCCGAGCCUUUGUAAAUCUCCUUCGACGAGUCGAGUAGUUUGGGAAUGCUGCUCUAAAUGGGAGGUAAAUUUCUUCUAAAGCUAAAUACCGGCCAGAGACCGAUAGCGCACAAGUAGAGUGAUCGAAAGAUGAAAAGCACUUUGAAAAGAGGGUUAAAUAGCACGUGAAAUUGUUGAAAGGGAAGGAUUUAUGACCAGACUUUUUCUAGGAGGAUCAUCCGGUGUUCUCACCGGUGCACUUCUUCUAGUCUAGGCCAGCAUCGACUUUCGGCGGUGGAUAAAAGCUUUGGGAAUGUGACUCCUUUCGGGGAGUGUUAUAGCCUAUUGUAUAAUACACUGCUGGGGGUCGAGGUACGCGCUUCUGCAAGGAUGCUGGCGUAAUGGUUAUCAAUCACCCGUCUUGAAACACGGACCAAGGAGUCGAACAUUUGUGCAAGUGUUUGGGUGUUAAACCCUCACGCGUAAUGAAAGUGAACGGAGGUGAGAGCCCUUACGGGUGCAUCAUCGACCGAUCCUGAUGUUUUCGGAUGGAUUUGAGUAAGAGCAUAACUGUUCGGACCCGAAAGAUGGUGAACUAUGCGUGGAUAGGGUGAAGCCAGAGGAAACUCUGGUGGAGGCUCGCAGCGGUUCUGACGUGCAAAUCGAUCGUCAAAUCUGCGCAUGGGGGGCGAAAGACUAAUCGAACCAUCUAGUAGCUGGUUACCGCCGA